rnacentral:rRNA from 1 species
GACGAACGCUGGCGGCGUGCUUAACACAUGCAAGUCGAACGGAAAGGCCCUGCUUUUGUGGGGUGCUCGAGUGGCGAACGGGUGAGUAACACGUGAGUAACCUGCCCUUGACCUUGGGAUAACUUCAGGAAACUGGGGCUAAUACCGUAUAUGAGCUCCUGCUGCAUGGUGGGGGUUGGAAAGUUUCGGCGGUUGGGGAUGGACUCGCGGCUUAUCAGCUUGUUGGUGGGGUAGUGGCUUACCAAGGCUUUGACGGGUAGCCGGCCUGAGAGGGUGACCGGCCACAUUGGGACUGAGAUACGGCCCAGACUCCUACGGGAGGCAGCAGUGGGGAAUGUUGCACAAUGGGCGGAAGCCUGAUGCAGCAACGCAGCGUGCGGGAUGACGGCCUUCGGGUUGUAAACCGCUUUCGCCGGUGACGAAGCGUGAGUGACGGUAAUGGGUAAAGAAGCACCGGCUAACUACGUG